rnacentral:rRNA from 1 species
UGGGGAAUAUUGGGCAAUGGGCGAAAGCCUGACCCAGCAACGCCGCGUGAAGGAAGAAGGCUUUCGGGUUGUAAACUUCUUUUAUGUGGGACGAAAAAAAUGACGGUACCACAUGAAUAAGCCACGGCUAACUACGUGCCAGCAGCCGCGGUAAUACGUAGGUGGCAAGCGUUGUCCGGAUUUACUGGGAGUACAGGGCGCGUAGGCGGGAAUGCAAGUCAGAGGUGAAAUCCAUGGGCUCAACACAUGAACUGCAUUUGAAACGACAUUUCUGGAGUGAUGGAGAGGCAAGUGGAAUUCCGAGUGUAGCGGUGAAAUGCGUAGAUAUGAGGAGGAACACCAGUGGCGAAGGCGACUUGCUGGACAUUAACUGACGCUGAGGCGCGAAAGCGUGGGGAGCAAACA